rfam:Danio rerio chromosome 4, GRCz11 reference primary assembly.
GCAUUUAUGGUUCAGUGGUAGAAUUCUCGCCUCCCACGCGGGAGACCCGGGUCCGAUUCCUGGCCAAUGCA